GACAGAGGAUGCAAGCGUUAUCCGGAAUUACUGGGCGUAAAGCGUGCGCAGGCGGUGAUGUAAGACAGAUGUGAAAUCCCCGGGCUCAACCUGGGAACUGCAUUUGUGACUGCAUCGCUGGAGUACGGCAGAGGGGGAUGGAAUUCCGCGUGUAGCAGUGAAAUGCGUAGAUAUGCGGAGGAACACCGAUGGCGAAGGCAAUCCCCUGGGCCUGUACUGACGCUCAUGCACGAAAGCGUGGGGAGCAAACAGG
rnacentral:rRNA from 1 species